rnacentral:tRNA from 1 species
GGCUAUGUGGCGCAAUGGAUAGCGCAUUGGACUUCUAAUUCAAAGGUUGUGGGUUCGAGUCCCACCAGAGUCG